rnacentral:lncRNA from 1 species
GAUCUCCUGACCUCAUGAUCCACCCACCUUGGCCUCCCAAAAUGCUGGGAUUACAGGCGUGAGCCACCGCGCCCGGCCUGUUAGUUAUUUUUAAAUGUACAAUUAAGUUAUUGCUGACUGUUGUCACCUUGUUGUCCUAUCAAAUAGUAGGUCUUAUUCAUUCUUUCUUUUCUUUUCUUUCUUUUUUUUUGAGAUGGAAUCUCAUUUUGUUACCCAUGCUGGAGUGGAGUGGCAUAUCUGCUCACUGCAACCUCCGCCUCCUGCGUUCAAGUGGUUCUCCUGCUUCAGCCUCCAGAGUAGCUGGGAUUACAGGUAUGCGCCACCAUGCCCGGCCAACAAUGUUAACAAAAAGAGAAGCCACAGACUUGGAUAAAAUAUCUGCAAAUUAUCUAUUUGAUAAAGAACUUGCAUCCAGAAUAUGUAAAGACUGACCAGGUUGCAAGCACUAUGAACAACAGUUUCCAGGCGUGCUUCCUGCAUGCCCAGCACCACUCCCAAAGAGUGAUCACAAUUCUCACUAACAUUUCUUUUUAUGAGACAGUGUCUUGCUCUGUCAUCCAGGCUGGAGUGCAGUGGCAUGAACACAGCUUGCUGCAGCCUCAACCUCCCAGGCUCAAGCAAUCCUCCCACCUCAGCCUUCUGAGUAACUGGGACCACAGGCAGACACUACCACAUCAGACUAAUUUUUUUUUUUUUGUAGAGUUGAGGGUCUCACUAUGUUGCCCAGGCUUGUCUCAAACUCCUGGGCUCAAGUGAUCCUCCUGCCUCAGCCUCCCAAAGUGCUGGGAUUAUAGGCAUGAGCCCAUUUUCGAGAUGAAGAAACUGAGGCCUGGAGAGAUGAAGUAUUAAUACAGGGCCAAAGGUCACAGUUCUUCAGUUCAGGCAGAACCACCAGGCAUGUCUGGCUCUAAAGCAGUGAUUGUUAGUCCUGACUGCACAUUUAGAAACACCUGCAGGGCUUUGUGAAAUCACAAUGCUGUUUGAACCCCAGAACAACUACAUCAGAAUCUCUCAUCAGUAUAUGCUUUUUUUCUUUAAUUCUCCAGGCAAUUCCAUGUGUAGCCAACUUUGAGGACCAUUGAUUUAAAGUGAGGGAACUUAAUCUCUCAACCAGCGUUUCUGAAACCUGGGAUCUUCCUUAAAAAUACACAGACUCCCAGGCCUCUCUCCUGCAAAUGCUGAACUAGAUGCCUGGGGCAGGGCCUAGCAAUUCGUGUUUUUCACAAUCACCCUAGGUGAACAUGACUACCAGACCUGUGUCUUACCUACCCUCUCCCGCCUCCAGGGCUACAAGGCACCAGACCAGUGGGUCCUGGCCGCUGGCCCCUGAGAGGCAGGGCAGGAGCUGUGUGCCCCUAGAAGCAUGUGCCAGGGGGAACUUGGGCCCUGGAGCAGCUGGGGCAGCAGGUGGGGAGAAGGAGGGUAGGAAGGUUAACCCUUUGCAUCCAUAUACAUUGUGUCUUGAAGACAGUACCACCCCAUCCCACUCCUAGCCCCAGAGCAACUCAACCUUAACCAGACUGUUGCAGAAAGUGGCAUUUUCUUUCUUUUUUUCUUUUUUCUUUUUUUUUUUUUUUUUGAGAUGGAUUCUCGCUCUGUCGUCCAGGCUGGAGUGCAGUGGCAAGAUCUAGGCUCAUUGCAAACUCCGUCUCCCGGGUGCAAGCGAUUCUCCUGCCUCAGCCUCCCGUAGCUGGGAUUACAGGCACAUGCCACCAUUCGCGGCUAAUUUUUGUAUUUUUAGUAGAGACAGGGUUUCAGCAUGUUGGCCAGGCUGUUCUUGAACUCCUGAUCUCAAGUGAUCCGCCCACCUCGGCCUCCCAAAGUGCUGGGAUUACAGGCAUGAGCCACCGCACCCAGCCUUGUUUUCUUCUCUUUCUUGUAGUUUGGAAAUUCUCUUUCCUGGGUGGGAGCAAUGGCUUAGAGGGCACAGGGUGGGAUGAGAAGCCCAGAUUGUAGCGGGGUGCCCCAGUGUGUUUUUACCACAUGGACAAAGCUACGGCCUUGUGAAAAAGCAUGCAAAUCCCGUGGCAUCCUCCCCUUUGCCAACACAGUGUGAAGCAACUGUGCCUCCCACAUGGGGCUGCAGGACUCAGGCAAUUAGGGCUGCCUGUCUCUGACUUUUAAAAGAAAUUGCUGCAAGCCAGCUGGCUCCUAGGGGACACAAGGAGAUUGAAGAGAAUGAGGAAACUCCAGGAAGACAGAAAUAGCCUCUUUAGCCCAGAUCAGAUUUUUAACAGCUUUGCUUUCCUUCUUGGUGUUUCCCAAGGCCAAGCCCCGAGUGAGAACAGAGGCAUUGUCUUGUGUCUGGAGGCAGACAGAGGGGACAUUUAAAGACUGGCCUGGUGACGGGAAGACAACCCAUUCAAGGACCCAGAGCAAGCUCUUCUCACAAGCUAGCAGGGCACACAGAUGAAUAGCAAGGGACUGGCACAUAGAAGGGGCCCAAGACUCCUGUCACCUGCUGCGUUAGUGACUGUGAUACCAGCGCCUACCAGGCUUCUCUCUACAGCUCUCUCCCCUGUUCCUCCUCUGCUGACCGUGACAAACAAGCAAAGGAUUUGAAACCAAGGAUUCGAGAGGAAAACACAUAGGGUCUGAAAGCUGGGAGAAGACGCACUUCUGUGGUUCAAGAGAAUGUGGUAAACCUUGACCUUGAGCAGGAAGGAGGAACUGCACACGCUCCGGAGGAACUCACCAACUGUAUGACCUCGAUCACACGAGAACGCCAGCUCCCAGGUUGAGGAAGAAAUGAAAGAAAGCACUUAAAACACCUGCCACCUAGCAGGUGUGCAAUACUGUUAAUUUACAUCCCUCUAUCCUGAGCAGAAAGCUCUCCUCUUAAAGGGCCCAUCUUCCCAUCACCCUAGCCGGAGGCUGUUUUUCUUCUUUUUUUUCCAUCCAUUCAGCUGUAAAUCCUUCAGAGGUCUCCAGUCCACUCCAGGACAAGGACUGUAUCAGGACCUGAGUGGGUAGGAGGGUAUGAGGCAGGGUGUACAGAGGCUGCAGGGUCCUGCGACUUGGGGCGGAUCCAGGGCAGCGAGGACUAAGGGGAAGAGGGCACUAGGAGCGCUAGUCCUGGCAGCCACCAUCUGGCAGAGCUAUCCCAGAAGGAAGCCCCCCAAGAGGAAUGUUUGGCACUCUUGGUGGUUAUUACCCUGUAAGUCUCUCCCUGUCACUCUCCACUCUAGUCUUUAGCCUCCGACGUCCUCCUGGCGCCCGCCCCUUACCCUGGGUCCGCUCCUUCUGCUUCUGGGUCUCUGGGGAAGCGUUCAAUCCACGGUCGCGGCUCCGGUGCUCCUCAAACGGCGGCGUUUACCGGUUGCUUGGCAACCCCGGCCUGGCUCCGGACGCGCGGGGCGACGCGGAAGGACCCCGGAGCACGUGACUCCUUUCCUGCCACGUCGGAAGCGCAGGCCAUCCCUCUUCUUUUUGGAGGUCUCCUGAGUUAGGAGAAGAAUUAACCAAUAGGUUGGUAACAUACUAAUAAUGAUCAUGAAUAUUUGUAGGGGCGUUGCCAAGGCGCUUAUCCAAGCCUACGUUUGUAUGCAUUUGCAUCGAGCAAGGCACCCAGAAAAUGCAAGGAAGAAUAGUCAGUGCUUGGGAAGCCCUGAUCCCUGGGUGGUGAUGGCGGGCUCUGCUUACCAUCUUGGCCGACUGUGUUGUCCUGCCUUCCUUCAGUUUCCGCAUCCAUUCAGUGGGAAUUAUAACUCUGCCCUCCCCUCUGCUACCAUCCUUCCUCCACUUUCUGUAAUAAAGACAUCUUCCCGCACCACCAGAAUGGAAACUCCUUGGGAGUAGAAGCUGGG